GGGUCCGUAGCUCACUUGGGAGAGCGCCUGAUUUGCAUUCAGGAGGCAGCGAGUUCGAUUCUCGCCGGAUCC
rnacentral:tRNA from 1 species